UACGGAGGAUCCAAGCGUUAUCCGGAUUUAUUGGGUUUAAAGGGUGCGUAGGCGGCUUUUUAAGUCAGUGGUGAAAUACAGCAGCUCAACUGUUGAGGUGCCAUUGAUACUGAGAGGCUUGAGUACAGAUGAGGUAGGCGGAAUUUAUGGUGUAGCGGUGAAAUGCAUAGAUACCAUAAAGAACACCGAUUGCGAAGGCAGCUUACUAAGCUGUAACUGACGCUGAGGCACGAAAGCGUGGGGAGCGAACAGG
rnacentral:rRNA from 1 species